CCGCGGCGCGGCUUCCCUCUCACGCCAGACGAUGUGGUGGACCCAGCUCCGCACCCCUCUCCCGUGCGAUCCUUGGUGCUCUGUCGCGCGGUGCCCCCGAUCCCAUCGCUCCCUCGAUCCUCCGUGCAAGAGAUCUGGGAUUUCCGGCGUUCCCUCCUCCGUCCAAAGAUCUCAGCUCCAAUCCUCAAUCCAUCUCCCGUCUCUUCCAAGGUGUGCCUACCCUCCCUGACCUCGCACCCAUGGCUGCCCUACCCUACGCGGCUAGGGUUUUCCGGCCACCUUCCCCCACCCCGAUCCAACAACGCCGCAAAUUAAAGAAGCCGCCGCUGCUCCGCCCUCGCCGGCUCCGACCCGUAACCUUCCCCAUGGCGCUCAAUUCUCCAUCGCCAACACCGGAUGCCCAGCCGGCUCCACACCAUCCCCAUUGCCUGCACGAUCUGCCAUGCUAACGCGACGAGCUCUAUGGUGGCGAGUACACAACAGACAAACCCAAGGGCAGGCCACCAGGCGAGGCCGCCCACCCAGGACGUCGGGCCACUGGCCACAGGCCCCGUCGAGUGGCUUCCUAAAGGCGGCGUGCGGAGGGCUCUUCAGCCGCCUUGAUAGCAACCACGAUGGCCCAUCGUGUGGUCGUGCGGAUCCACUAAGGCACGGGGAGCCUUCAUCAUGGCUCUGUCGAUGUUGCCAACUUCUGAGCCAGAGGAGAUGGAGGAGAUGAACAGCGCCGAGGGUUCCGAUCUGGUCCCAUCCGUGGACCAAUUCAUUCUUGGUGCUCAGAGCAAGAGAAGGUGCCGCCUUCACACGCCAGCUGCCAGCAAGAGCGCUACCGUGUGGCAGGCCUGGUGGCCAAGAUGCAAAGUGAGAGCUAAUCGGUCACAGAGUGAGUAGCGGCAGCGAGGUGCGCCGUCGUGGCCUUGUUACUCACCUCCCUCCAGGCCCCACAUCAUGGAAGGAGCAGGAGAGCCGCUGCCAUGCGCAUAUGUCAGAUGAUUGUUGUAGGCAGUAUCACCAUUACAAGGUCUGAGGGAGUACCAACAUAAUCUUAAAGGCAAGUAUAAAAAAUAUUUUCUUGUCAGGAAGAUGUGGAGCUUAUGCAUGGGAUGGGAUGUGGAGUUUAUGCUUGGGAUGGGUUUAGAUGCUUACAGAUUCUCUAUUGGUUGGCCAAGGCUGAUUCCAGGUAGGUCAGGUGACGAGCCCAAAUCAUCUUCAGGAGAAGAUCGAGCUUCUUCAUACACUAUCAUCAACGAUAAGAAGCUAUCACAUCUUCCAAAGUUAAAGCAGGUCUUGGCCCAACUAUGCAUGCAACCAACAUUGAUCAACUGGGCGGAGUAGACCAAGUUUUUUCUAUGCAGAUGGAACAUAGGUUGGAGAGACAUCUUGGGGAGAAUUCUAGAUUAGUAGUCGUAAAGAACGUUGGGCAUGUGGCCAGUCUAGAGAAGUCCAAAGUGGUGUGCAAGAGCAUCAUCAGCUAUUUUCAGGAACCGGCUUCAAGUGCUUCAAUCGGGGGAAAGGUAGGCAAUGGUUGCAAUUAUUAAGAAUAAUUUGGUUUGGUGGAUUUUGUGUAGCCAGCUUUAGCGUCCAAUUUGAGUGCCAAAAGAAAUAGUCAAAGGCGUCUUGUUUCUUUCCCGUUAUUCCUUUCAUCCUUUGGCAAGGCCGCACGGGCUUUGGAAAGUAUGGGUUUUAUGAUGAAAUACGCUUUACUUUCGAUGUCGAAUAAUCUGGGAUGGGUUGUUUUAAUUUGUUUAUAUACUUGAAUGUUGUCGUAGCGUUAGCACGGGCAGUAUACUAUGAAAGAAAAAAAAUAGUAGAAUGUUGCACCAUGUAAAAGUUCCUUACAGAUUUUCAGAUUGUUCAAUGCAUGCAUUACUCUAUGAACGGGCGCAUGUUCCUGAAUCUAUAGCUUUUAUUAUAUUCUUCAAGUGUUUCUAGCUGAAAAACCUAUACAUGGUGCAAUCAUAGUCUACCAGAUCAGGAAGAAUGGUGUCAAUUCAGCCACUUAUGUCUGUGUAAUCUUUUUGUAUAUUUUUUGGUUGAAGUUCCAAAAAUAUAAUUUUGUUAGAAGUUAGGCAAAUUCUAAAUUUUUAAUAGUUGUACGUUAGGAUCACUGGGUAGCCAUUUUGUGUAUUAAUAUGAUCAUUGUCCUUAAUCUAAUAAUCUAUUCUUGACACUGAUACAACUUUUAUGAAUUUUAUUUGUAAUCACGUAAUAGUCAAUAAUUGAUUUUCUUAAGAGAACUCUAUUGUGAUCUUCGACACUCCAUUUUGUCCUCAUAGGUCUUCAUUGUCGAGAAAGAAAAUACUUUUGUGCUUUUAAUUGGCAUCUAACAGAUCUCAUCAUACACUUAAUUAUUUGUUAAAGUUUUGUCAAGUUUAUCAUGUUUUGCAGUCUAACACUUAUGGCUGUACUAAUAUCUGUUGUUACUAAUAAUUUUCCUUCUUUUAUUUGCAACUAAAAAGAAAAGCUCCCUAUGUGUGGGAUAUGAUACUACUGAGUCAAUUGAAUGGACUAUGACCAGUCUUGGGUUCAUUCAAGGAGUUAGCAGUUUACUUAGGACCCCCCAAUACUGCUGAUCUGCUAGGACAUAUACAAGUCAAAAAGCUAAUAAAUCCUCCAAAGCUAGACCUCAUCCAGGCACCAAGACCAAAUGCUGGCAAGUUGAAUAUCUCACAUUGGUGUGUCCACACGUAGGCCAACUAGCUGCAGGCCAAGAUUGACGCCACUAGGCACCAGUCUCAUUGCUUAGGGGUGUCACUCAUACACGGUGAUGAGCCAUUGGCACAUAGGAGUGUUUGGAGCAUGCUACCGCUGCCCAUCAAAAAGCAUGCUUUAGCAAGCAUCUGUUUUGUGGAAGUCCGUGUGGACGCAGAACAACUUGUCCUGCCCAUCGUGGGACUGCCUGUGCCUAAACCUGCUCGUUGUGGGGUUGCUUGUGCCCAAGGAUGACGUAAUCGAUGCCAUCAGGGUCGUUGGGGACCUGGUCGUCAGGCUGCCAGACUUAGGUGCAAUACUAUGUGCAUCAAGCAGCUGCUUAUCACGGUGAGUUUUCACAUUAUGGUCCUCUUGAUUGAUGACUUUUCAGGAUAUUUUUUUCUAUCAGUUCUCAUGGGAUUCGGUGGGGUUAUAGGUCAAUUUGCCUUCUGUGUUGACAAAUGCUUGAUGCCUUGGUUGGUUCGAUUUAUGGUUGCUAUUCUAUGUGGUCGGACAUAUUUGAUUCUGCUUGGUUGAUGUGCAUGAAAGAAUCAAGCCAGGAAGUUGGAAGCAUUAGUAUAAAAAUACAAUGUAAUUAAUAGCAUGAGAAGGUUAACAACAUGAAGGUACAAAUCAUCUCCUCAUACUAUACAAAGCUGUACUGUGCAUAGGUACGGUAUUGAGGUAGCACUCAGUAGUUACAGUUAGUACAAGCAUGAUUUAAUCUAGAAAGUCGAGUGCAAGUUGCUUCAUUUAUUUUUUUCACCAUUUGACUCCUUGAUUCUGUUUAGAAUGAUUGAAUUAUUAUAAUUUUAAUCAUGUACAAACUUUGUUUUUUGAUUAA